rnacentral:rRNA from 1 species
UGCCAGCCGCCGCGGUAACACGAACUGCGCGAACGUUAUUCGGAAUCACUGGGCUUAAAGAGUGCGUAGGCGGCUUGACAAGUUGGGUGUGAAAUCCCUCGGCCUAACCGAGGAACUGCGCUCAAAACUGUCAGGCUUGAGGGAGACAGAGGUGAGCGGAACUGAUGGUGGAGCGGUGAAAUGCGUUGAUAUCAUCAGGAACACCGGUGGCGAAGGCGGCUCACUGGGUCUCUUCUGACGCUGAGGCACGAAAGCUAGGGGAGCGAACGGGAUUAGAUA